UUUUUACUUCCGAAAAGCAGACAAUGGAUGCCUGGAGGAUGCUAAAGCCGAAGAAGGACGUACUAGGCCACGAUAGUCGUCGGGGAGCUGCCAAGAAGCGCUGAUCCGGCGGUGUCCGAAUGGGGAAACCCACCCCGCAGAAACUGCGGGGGGUCCCGCAUCUUGUCUAGCCCACUGACUUUGGAAUUAUUCUUGCCGACCGCUGGUAUUUUAGCGGUGACGGAUUGAGAGCUUUCCGAGGUCGGAGGUUAGAAAAGGUGCGGGAGGGGCACGCCCUGAACUGAAACAUCUAAGUAGGGGCAGGAAAAUAAAUCAACGAGAUUCCGUAAGUAAGCGGAGAGCGAAAGCGGAAAAGCCUAAACCAUGUACAGUUACAUGUACGUGGUGUUGCGGGGCAGACGAUAUGGGAUUGGAUGAGGAGUAGUUGAAUCCUGUGGAAACAGGAGCCAAAGAGCGUGACAGCCGCGUAAGCGAAACUUCCGUCCACCUUAGUUUGUACCCAAGUACCAUGAAGAACAUACUUUGUGGGAAUCCGGGGUAACCACACUCCAAGGCUAAAUACUUUAGCAUACCGAUAGUGAACCAGUACCGUGAGGGAAAGGUGAAAAGAAGGGUUAAAAACCUAGUGAAAUAGAACCUGAAAUUGUCUGCUAUCAAGCAGUGAGAGCCCCUCCGCAAGGUCGGGGUGAUCGCGUGCCUAUUGAAGAAUGAUCCGGCGAGUUUUCGAUUGCUGCAAGUUUAACCCCGCUAAGCGGGGGGAGGCGUAGGGAAACCGAGUCUUAACAGGGCGAAAUACCAGCAGCAGUUGGAAGACCCGAAACCUGGUGAGCUAACCAUGAGCAGGGUGAGUCCCGCCGAAAGGCGGGAGGAGGCCCGAACCCGUCAGAGUUACAAAUCUGUGGGAUGACUUGUGGUUAGGGGUAAUAUGCCAAUCGAACCAGGAGAUAGCUGGCUCUCCCCGAAAUAUAUAUAGGUAUAGCCUCAAAGCCAACUGACAUGAGGUAGAGCACUGGAUGGGCCGGGCGGCGCAAGCCGUCCUGUUCAAUCAAACUCCGAAUUCGUGUCAGAGUACUUUGGGAGUCAGAACGACCCGGCUAAGCGGGCCGCUCAAAAGGGAAACAACCCAGACUGUCGUCUAAGGCCUCUAAAUGGAUGCUUAGUGUUGAACGCAGUCGAAUUCCUCAGACAGCCAGGAGGUUGGCUCAGAAGCAGCCAUCCUUUAAAGAAAGCGUAACAGCUCACUGGUCGAUUUGGGAGUUCGGCGCGGAAAAUGAACCGAGGCUGAAGCAUCCUGCCGAAGAUACAGAUUUCCCCGCAUUUUGCGGGGGAGUGGUAGGGGAGCGUUGAGGGAGCGGUGAAGGCCAGCCGUAAGGCGAACUGGAGCGACCUCAAGUGAGAAUGCCGGAAUGAGUAGCGUAAUCCCAGUGAGAAUCUGGGACGCCGAAUACCCAAGGUUUCCUCCGCGACAUUGUUUGACGGAGGGUGAGUCGGCACCUAAGGCGAGGCCGCAGAGGGCGUAGCCGAUGGACGAGACGUAAAUAUUCGUCUACAUGGAAAAUGUCGUUAUCAGCUAGGGAUGGACAAAGUGAGAGCAGCCAAACGCGUGCAGUGAAUGCGGCGUCUAAGCAGUAAGACAGUCGGUCCUGUAAAACGCGGACCGGUGUUUAAUCGAACUGUGACGGGAAGUUUGAAGAGAAAUCAACGAACAACUUGGUGCGCUUUUGUUUUCAAGAAAAGAUUCGUAGUGAGACAUUUUUUAUGCCGUACCGCAAACCGACACUGGUGGGUGGGUCGAGUAGACCAAGGCGAUCGGGAGAAGGUAGUUCAAGGAACUCGGCAAAAAAGCUGGACGUAAGUUUGCAAGAUGUCCUGCCCGCCGCAAGGCGGGCCGCAGCUAAAGCUUAUUCCUCGACUGUUUAACUAAAACACAGGUCUGUGCGAACUCGAAAGAGGCGGUAUACAGGCUGAUACCUGCCCAGUGCUCGUAAGUUAAGUGGAUGGGUGAUCCCGCAAGGGUUAGCCUUGAAAUGAAGCUCGAGUGAACGGCAGCAGUAACUAUGAGCCGAAAGGCCGUUGUAGUUGUAAAAGUCGACUAUAUGCUGGAACGUCUGAGUAUCUCACACUAGUAUUGACUUCGGUUUUUAUUCGGGGUUAAACUAACAAUGUGUUGAGUGCAGAUAAUCAGCAGGAAAGGCUAGAGACAGGACAAUUCUUGGCAGGGUUUGCAGAAGGAGAAGGAAGUUUUAAUAUUUCCUUGCGCCGGAAAACAGAUUACAAGGUAAAUUGGCAGGUGGUGAUGAGUUUCAAUAUAUCUCAACGCGACCCCACUUUAUUGAAUUUGUUUCAGCAAAUUCUGAGAUGCGGGAUUAUAAAAAAAAGGUUUGAUGGGGUUUAUUCACUUGAUGUGACCACUCCUUUGGACAUUGUUAGUAAAGUAAUUCCGUUUUUCCAAGAGUUUCCUCUUCGUUCUGAAAGUAAGCAACGCAACUUUAAUUUAUUUGUUAAAGCGGCAAGCUUAAUGAAGAGCGGGGAGCAUAAAAACCCAGAAGGUUUGUUUAAAAUUUUAAAGAUUCGAGAGCAAAUAAACCUGGGUAAAGGGAGGACUAGAAAAUAUUCAAUUUUUGAUGUUUUUCCUAAGCAAUCUUUAGAAUCCUCAGAGACUAUACGUCGACCCCCGCCAAGGCGGGGAUGAUAUAGUCCGAUCUCAUAGGCGACUAUGAGACUCCGUAAUCAACCGGAGCAUUGUAACAACAUGAACUGUUCUAUGGUAGCGAAGUUCCUUGUCGGGUAAGUUCCGACCCGCACGAAAGGUUUAACGAGGGAAUAACUGUCUUGAACUAUCACCCGGCGAAAUUGAAAUGGCUGUGAAGAUGCGGCCUAACUCUACUAGGACAAAAAGACCCUAUGGAGCUUUACUGUAUCCAGGCCCUGUUUUGGGCUUUGGGAUUGUUUAGAGUAGGAGGGACCACGUUCAGUUAAAUGAACGUGGAAAAGUGAAACACCUCUCGUUUUGAAGUCACAAAACUAACCCACAUGUGCUGGAAUCGCACAUGGAGACAAGGUCUGGUUGGCAGUUUUACUGGGGAGGUAUCCUGCUAAAAGGUAACGCAGGAGUACAAAGGUGCACUAGGCUCGGAUGGAAAUCGAGCGAGUCGUGUAACGGCAUAAGUGCGCUUGACUGUGAGAGCGGCAGCUCGAGCAGGUGCGAAAGCAGGUCGUAGUGAUCCUCGGAUCCCUCGUGGGAGGGACCGGGCUUAACGGAUAAAAGCUACCCUAGGGAUAACAGGCUGAUCGCCGCCAAGAGUCCAUAUCGACGCGGCGGUUUGGCACCUCGAUGUCGGCUCAUCCUAUCCUGGAGGGGCAGUACCUUCCAAGGGUCCGGCUGUUCGCCGGUUAAAAGGGUACGCGAGCUGGGUUCA
rfam:Microgenomates (Amesbacteria) bacterium GW2011_GWC1_47_15 TX86_C0004, whole genome shotgun sequence.